ACGGGGUGCAGCAGGCGCGAACACUUUACAAUGCGGGAAACCGCGAUAAGGGAACCCCGAGUGCCAGCAUCAAAUGUUGGCUGUCCAGAUGAUUAAAAAUCAUUUGUUAGCAAGGGCCGGGCAAGACCGGUGCCAGCCGCCGCGGUAACACCGGCGGCCCGAGUGGUAGCCGUUUUUAUUGGGUCUAAAGGGUCCGUAGCCGGCCUGAUAAGUCCUUUGGGAAAUCUGGCAGCUUAACUGUCAGGCUUCUAAGGGAUACUGUCAGGCUUGGGACCGGAAGAGGUAAGGGGUACUCCAGGGGUAGGAGUGAAAUCUUGUGAUCCCUGGGGGACCAUCUGUGGCGAAGGCGCCUUACCAGAACGGGUCCGACGGUGAGGGACGAAAGCUAGGGGAGCAAACCGGAUUAGAUACCCGGGUAGUCCUAGCUGUAAACGAUGCUCGCUAGGUGUCAGACACGGUGCGACCGUGUUUGGUGCCGCAGGGAAGCCGUUAAGCGAGCCACCUGGAAGUACGUCGCAAGGC
rnacentral:rRNA from 1 species